GGCGCGGGAUUUGGCCGCCGCGGGGCUCCGGAGCCGCUCGCUCCCGACACGGCUCACGAUGCGCGGCGAGCAGGGCGCGGCGGGGGCCCGGGUGCUCCAGUUCACUAACUGCCGGAUCCUGCGCGGAGGGAAACUGCUCAGGGAGGAUCUGUGGGUGCGCGGAGGCCGCAUCUUGGACCCAGAGAAGCUGUUCUUUGAGGAGCGGCGCGUGGCCGACGAGCGGCGGGACUGCGGGGGCCGCAUCUUGGCUCCCGGAUUCAUCGAUGUGCAGAUCAACGGUGCGGCCCGGGGCCGGCAGGGGAACCCAGGGGAGGAGCUCUGAGCUCCAUGCGACACUUCCUUUUCUGUGGCUGCAGGUGGAUUUGGUGUUGACUUCUCUCAAGCCACGGAGGACGUGGGUUCGGGGGUUGCCCUGGUGGCCCGGAGGAUCCUGUCGCACGGCGUCACCUCCUUCUGCCCCACCCUGGUCACUUCCCCACCGGAGGUUUAUCACAAGGUUGUUCCUCAGAUCCCUGUGAAGAGUGGUGGUCCCCAUGGGGCAGGGGUCCUCGGGCUGCACCUGGAGGGCCCCUUCAUCAGCCGGGAGAAGCGGGGCGCGCACCCCGAGGCCCACCUCCGCUCCUUCGAGGCCGAUGCCUUCCAGGACUUGCUGGCCACCUACGGGCCCCUGGACAAUGUCCGCAUCGUGACGCUGGCCCCGGAGUUGGGCCGUAGCCACGAAGUGAUCCGGGCGCUGACGGCCCGUGGCAUCUGCGUGUCCCUAGGUGAGGGGCCGGCUCGGGGUGGGCCUGC
rnacentral:sRNA from 1 species